AUUGAACGCCGGCGGCAGGCUUAACACAUGCAAGUCGAGCGGAGAUGAGGUGCUUGCACCUUAUCUUAGCGGCGGACGGGUGAGUAAUGCUUAGGAAUCUGCCUAUUAGUGGGGGACAACAUUCCGAAAGGAAUGCUAAUGCCGCAUACGCCCUACGGGGGAAAGCAGGGGAUCUUCGGACCUUGCGCUAAUAGAUGAGCCUAAGUCGGAUUAGCUAGUUGGUGGGGUAAAGGCCUACCAAGGCGACGAUCUGUAGCGGGUCUGAGAGGAUGAUCCGCCACACUGGGACUGGGACACGGCCCAGACUCCUACGGGAGGCAGCAGUGGGGAAUAUUGGACAAUGGGCGGAAGCCUGAUCCAGCCAUGCCGCGUGUGAAGAAGGCCUUUUGGUUGUAAAGCACUUUAAGCGAGGAGGAGGCUACCUGGAUUAAUACUCUAGGAUAGUGGACGUUACUCGCAGAAUAAGCACCGGCUAACUCUGUGCCAGCCGCCGCGGUAAAAC
rnacentral:rRNA from 1 species